ACAAGCGGUGGAGUAUGUGGUUUAAUUCGAUGCAACGCGAAGAACCUUACCUGGUCUUGACAUCCCGGAGACCCUUAGGAAACUAGGGGUGCUUCCAUCUGGAAGAAUCUGGAGACAGGUGCUGCAUGGCUGUCGUCAGCUCGUGUCGUGAGAUGUUGGGUUAAGUCCCGCAACGAGCGCAACCCUUGCCUUUAGUUGCCAGCAGUUCGGCUGGGCACUCUAAAGGGACUGCCGGUGUUAAACCGGAGGAAGGUGGGGGAUGACGUCAAGUCCUCAUGGCCUUUAUGACCAGGGCUACACACGUACUACAAUGGCCGAUACAAAGGGCAGCGACACUGCGAGGUGAAGCCAAUCCCGUAAAAUCGGUCUCAGUCCGGAUUGGAGUCUGCAACUCGACUCCAUGAAGUUGGAAUCGCUAGUAAUCGUGGAUCAGCAUGCCACGGUGAAUACGUUCCCGGGCCUU
rnacentral:rRNA from 1 species